rnacentral:lncRNA from 1 species
AAGGAGAGCACGGUGUGCUCUGAGCCCCUCACCCGCAUCCCGCGGGCUCCCUGCAGGGGCUGAUUGGCCGCACCCCGAGUGCUGCCGGCCCCAAACACGGGCUGGGAAGGCUCGGGGCUGUGGGGAAAAUUGGGAAUGGGGCGGGAAGGGCCGUGUGGAUGGGCUUUGUACCAACCUGGGUGAGGCGGAGACACAGACUCUGCAAACUGGAUGCUGCUGCUGCUGCUGCUGCUGCUGCUGUCCCAAGGAACCUGAGCAAGGAGAAGGGAAGAAGAGGAGCUGCGGCACAGAGCGAGGAGAAUGAAUUCCACAGUGGAGGGAAUCCCAAGGAAUUCCUAGGGAUGGAUAUUGCUGGGAAUGGGUAAUUAACUAAAGACCACUGCAAGUGUCCCGUCACACUGGAUUGAUGCUGUUUGAGAAGCAGCUCUGGCCGUGCUCCUUGAAAAGGGACAGCCUCGUUUUUUAUGGAAUUUUGGAAGCUGAAACAAGACAGACCAACCACUUCUAGGAACCUGACCUGCUGGAAGGCAGAAAUCCACCCCAAAAGCAAUGGGAGUUUUGCUGCUUGGGGGCCAGGAUUUUACUCUGCAAGCACUGGUGGGGUUUCCCCCUCAGAUUUAAUUCAUACAGCCCUCCACUUCAUCUCCUUUAUUCAAGAUGCCCUCGAGUGAGCAGCUCAUUUCCCUGGCAACAACUUCCUGGCACAUGCCGUGCAUUUAAUUCCUGAAGCAGUGACUCUUCUGGGCUGAGGGUGCCUUUUGUCCCUGGUGCAGACGUGACAAGGCAGAGAUGGAGUCCCCGCGUUGAGCUUUUCUCAGCGCACAUCCUGCCAGCCCAAAGCCUCGGGGCUUUUGGGGCGGGCCAUACCUUGUGCAGGUCACAGAGGUGACUUCCCUCACCGCCACUUUUCACUUUUUCCUGUGUGGGCACCACCGGGGUUGUGUGAAGUGCUGGUGGGAAGUGAAAACCGGUUCCACGCAGCCCUGGGACACCUGGCUGUGAUGAAGAGGCUGCUGCUGCAGGGGAACAGUGACCCAGCGUUUCCAAAACCUGACAAUUCUCUGCACCCAGAGCUCUCUGCCCUCUCUGGAUCUCAGGCUGACUUUUGUGCACUCAG